rnacentral:rRNA from 1 species
GGUUAAGCGACUAAGCGUACACGGUGGAUGCCUAGGCAAUCAGAGGCGAUGAAGGACGUGCUAAUCUGCGAUAAGCGUCGGUAAGGUGAUAUGAACCGUUACAACCGACGAUUUCCGAAUGGGGAAACCCAGUGCAAUUCGUUGCACUAUCGUUUGAUGAAUACAUAGUCAAACGAAGCGAACCGGGGGAACUGAAACAUCUCAGUACCCCGAGGAAAAGAAAUCAACCGAGAUUCCCCUAGUAGCGGCGAGCGAACGGGGAGCAGCCCAGAGUCUUAAUCAGCAUUAGCAUCAGGAGAACGGUCUGGAAAGUCCGGCAGUAAAGGGUGAUAGCCCCGUAUCCGAAGG